AAGGAGCUGCGGUGACUGUGAGAAGGGUGUUGUUGCCGAAACUUUGACCAGCCGUUUGGACAGCUAAACGACCUCCGUUUCGACUCAAAUUUUGAGGAGGUGUUCUACUCGAUGAGAGGAACAAUCCUACAGUGGCCGAUUGUGAUUUUAAAGGUCGAAUUCUUAGACAUGUGAUAUCACUCCUGAGGAUCCACAAGUGGGGCAGGGAGGACUUCAAGAUGCCCCUGGAGCAGCCUAGUGGAGUGUGGCAUUUUUUAUUGUGUUUGUGGUUUUGGGUUUUAUUUUAGUAACUAUGAACUAUGGAUUUGUAAUGAAACCCUAUUUUGAUUAAGUUGCUUAAUUGUGAACAUUUAUUUUUGGACUAUAAUGAAAAUUAUUUAAUCUUGUUGUUUA